CCUACGGGCGGCUGCAGUAGGGAAUCUUCCACAAUGGACGAAAGUCUGAUGGAGCAACGCCGCGUGUGUGAUGAAGGGUUUCGGCUCGUAAAACACUGUUGUAAGAGAAGAAUGACAUUGAGAGUAACUGUUCAGUGUGUGACGGUAUCUUACCAGAAAGGAACGGCUAAAUACGUGCCAGCAGCCGCGGUAAUACGUAUGUUCCAAGCGUUAUCCGGAUUUAUUGGGCGUAAAGCGAGCGCAGACGGUUGUGUAGGGCCGAGGUGAGAGCGCGGGGGUUAGCUGUGGAAGUGCGUUGGAAACUGGAGAAGUGGAGUGCAGUAGAGGGGAGUGGAACUCGAGGUGUAGCGGUGAAAUGCGUAGAUAUAUGGAGGAACAGCAGUGGCGAAGGCGGCUCUCUGGACUGUAGCUGACGUUGAGGCUCGAAAGUGUGGGUAGCAAACAGGAUUAGAUACCCUGGUAGUC
rnacentral:rRNA from 1 species